UACGUAGGGUGCAAGCGUUGUCCGGAAUCAUUGGGCGUAAAGAGCGUGUAGGCGGUCCGGUCAGUCGGUUGUGAAAGUCAAGGGCUCAACCCUUGAAUGCCGGCCGAUACUGCCGGGCUAGAGUCCGGAAGAGGUGAGUGGAAUUCCUGGUGUAGCGGUGAAAUGCGCAGAUAUCAGGAGGAACACCGAUGGCGAAGGCAGCUCACUGGGACGGUACUGACGCUGAGACGCGAAAGCGUGGGGAGCAAACAGG
rnacentral:rRNA from 1 species